rnacentral:lncRNA from 1 species
GUAAGAUCUGUUUUCCAUAGAUUGUAUACGACAUCAGUAUUUCGGUUACUUAAGAGCAUUAUUAUUAACACAAGUAUACCUAACAUUAUAGUGUAUUCUAUGCAUACUUUAAAUUUUGUUUAUCAAGAUUAUCAAAAACAAUGAUAAAGUGUAUUGUGUCAACAAUAUAUGAACACACCUAUUUGUCCACUAUUACUGGACAUCAUGAUGGUUCCCUUCAAAUUUUAAUGUCACAAAAGAAAAUGUCUUUACACUAGACAGGAAAAGUUAUUCAUAUAAGAUGUCAAUAGUUGAAAUUUUUAUGUCAUAAAUGAAAAUGUCUUGACACUAGACAGGAAAAGUUAUUCAUAUAAGAUGUCAAUAGUUCAAGUGCCAUAAAUUCUCCCAUAUUCCCUAAAAAGGAUCAGGUCUAUGAAAUCUUAUGAGUACUUAUGCAGACAAAAUACAUCAAAUUAUAUCCACUUAUUCCACAUUAAAUCAAAUACUUACUAGUAUUCAAUGGAAAGAUUAACUAGUAAAGGUUGUGUUAACUAAUAAUUUUAUUUUAUUUUAAAACUUAGCCUAUCACCAGUAUUACUUUAAUAAGAAUUAGGAGUAUUGAAUGUAUGAGUGAUAUUAACUGAAAAAAAACUUUGUGAAAUCCUUAGAACUGUAUAGUCAUUUGUACCAUAUAUUUAGAUAGUUGAUGUUCAUUUGUCAACCAUAUCCUAUUUUGAUUAAAACGGCAUAAGCUGUCAAAUUGAUAUUCACUGGUGUUUGACCGGAUAUGGGUUAUGUCCAUUUAAUACAUAAAAGUAUUUAAUCCCUUUUCCAGAUGAGCUUUUUCUCUAGACAUUAUUGUUUGUCUAUCAUCUUUCACCCUUACUACUCAAUGUCAUUCCCAUUCAUCAGCAUAAAAAUAAAUAAAAAACUAAAAUUCUAUGAAAGAGUUACAAGUCAUACCCUAUAUGGUAGCAUAAUUGAGAAAACAUUUAGUAUUCUAAUCAAAUUUACUAAAAAUUGUUGAAAGAAUUGUGAUGACGCUGAUAUAAAGUUCAUGCUACUUAUAACCUAGACUUAAAUCAGGAGUGGAGGUAUAGCUUGUUUUAAAAUAAGAACCUUUCUUCCUUUGUUAACUAUUUUCUUUCACUUUAAGUGAUCUGUUUUAAACAUAUAUAUCAUUGUAAUCAGGCUUGCAAUUUUUUUUUGAUAAACAAUAUGUUUUUUUUUUUUGUCACUGGCUCUUGAUUGUAAUUCAGUUUACCUUUCUCAAAAAUUCUCUGAUUAUAAAUGGUAUGGAAAGAGAUACAAGAAAAUGUCUUGCAGAUCACCAGAAUAGAAGUUUCUUUAGAUAUGCCAUAGAUCGAGUAUAUGCUAUUUUCCUUGCCCACCAUAUUCGAGGGGGAAAUUAAUGAUUUUCUUAAAUAACUAACCAAAAUAUAAACAUGCCUUUCAAACAAGUUUAAUAAGAUAUCCUUGCUUAAAGUUGUGACGAAUCAAGCAGUGCUAAGCGAAAUUAAAAUUGUUCAGAAAACAUUUUUUUUCAGUUUUCAGUCAGUAUAACAAGUUAAAGGAUUCCUGCACUCAGACCUCCAUCAUGGAGACAAAAGAGUCUCAUUUUGGUCUAAGCGUGACGCAGGAUUGCCGAUUUUUUUAAAGCAUGACACGUGCAAGUAAAAUUAUUGUGCUGUGAAAAUAAAAAAAAUGAGAAUUGCUUAUGUACAUAGGGUAAGCAGGAUAUGGAAAUCUGACAAAACAGUAAGUGGGAUCUGGGAUCAGAACCCCCAAAUGAGACCCCCUUAAUUCUUACUAAAUUUCUGUUCUUUGAAAUCUGUCUAUAAUCAUCAUAGUUUUUGUACCUAUCAUCUUUGAAAAAUCUGACUCAUUCUCAAGAUUAUAAACAGCUAUGUGUUGUUAUUUCCCAAUACAUGUAUUUAAUGAGGUUUUUCCCACAAAUAAAUUAACAUCACAUAAUUUGUUAUCAUUUGAUAUUUUACAAGAUGCCAUAUUUAUUUUAUAUUUAAAUAUUGUCUGUGAUAUUGUAUGUGUGAUAUAUUUGAACAUUUUACUGUAGAUUUUUAGGUUGUUGUCUUGUGUAUUUGUGAUAUAUCAGAUUGCAUUUGUGAUACGUGUAUUUGUAUCAUGUCUUUGUCUCUGCAUAUCAUUAUAUCAAGGCAAAAGUGUUUUAGCUGUAUAUUUACCAAUUUUUAUUGUAAAUUAGUAUAUUUUUAUUUUCUUGAAUCUGAGAUAUGUAUUGCCAAGUUUAAUAAAGUUGCAGAUAUUAACCAUAUAUCAAACAAAUACUGAUAUUUAAAAUAUUUUAAAGCAUGGAUAACUAAUCACUUCAUUAAAUAAAUACUAUAAGUUCUGAAAUAUAUGCAUGUGUUUUGACGUAUGGAAUACAAAUUCUGUGAAAUAAAAUAAAAACAAACUUCACUCUGUAUUUGUGUUAAGUGUAAAAAUAUUUUUGAACCAGCAAGGAACAGAGUAAAAACAAAUAAGCAAAUUAGUAUAUAUAUUAUAUAGAAAACUCUAUGGUGAAUAAAGAAUAGAUCAUAUGUUGUUUUUUGUAGCUUCUUCAAUUCAAAUUUAUUUGUUUUGAUUUUCAAUACAUGUUCCAUAUAUAGGGGAAAUGAAACAAAUGAUUCCUUAAAAAAAAUGUAAAUAAGAAGGGACUGCAUGUUCAAUGAAUGACAAGUUAUUUUAUAGAAUGUUACAAUUGAGGGUGAAGUCCUUAUAACUAGAAAAAUUGGUAAAAAUUCAAUAUCUUAGUGUUUUGAAAAUUGGUUUCUCUCUUUUGAUAAGAGCAAUAGUCUUACAGUUUUUGAUUGUGCAUUCAUGCAGUAAAACACAUGAAACUAGCCUCAUAUCAAAUAUAUAUUAUGAAAUGUAAGUAAUCCUAUAUUUAUAUUUAUAAUAAAUCAGAGAUUU